UACAGAGGUGGCAAGCGUUGUUCGGAAUUACUGGGCGUAAAGGGCGCGUAGGCGGCCUUCUAAGUCAGACGUGAAAUCCCCCGGCUUAACCUGGGAACUGCGUCUGAUACUGGGAGGCUAGAGUGCGGGAGAGGGAUGCGGAAUUCCAGGUGUAGCGGUGAAAUGCGUAGAUAUCGGGAGGAACACCAGUGGCGAAGGCGACUACCUGGCCUGUUCUUGACGCUGAGGCGCGAAAGCUAGGGGAGCAAACGGG
rnacentral:rRNA from 1 species